GAACCUGUAGUUUAAUGAGAAUUUCUCGCCUACAACGAGAGGGUUUGAAGGUUUU
rnacentral:tRNA from 1 species